GAAAACGGAUUGUGUAACAAGUGCUAUUGUCGAACCAGAAGCAGAAAAAAGCAUUAAUAUUUUUCUUUUGCCAACUAGCGGUAGGGGAGCGUAGUAACGACAGCGAAGUUAGACUGUAAGGACUAAUGGAGUUUUUACUAGUGAGAAUGCCGGCGUGAGUAACGAUAGAAGGUGAGAAUCCUUCUGGCCGAAUGACCAAGGUUUCCCGGGUGAAGGUCGUCUGCCCGGGGUUAGUCGGGGCCUAAGGCGAGGCCGAAAGGCGUAGUCGAUGGAUAAUAGGUUAAUAUUCCUAUACUCACCAUAAUUACCGAAGGAGUGACGAAGUCAGCUACGAUAGCCAGUGAUUGAUAGUGCUGGUCUAAGUAUAAAGAGGGCCGAGUUGGUAAAUCCGCUCGGUGCGGUUUUUUAGCCGCAACCUUGAAAUACGAAAGAUAGGGGCAACCCGAAGUAUCCGAACGCUUUGCUUCCCAGAAAAACUUCUAAAGAUAUAAUUAUGGUACCCGUACCGAGAACGAACACACGUGGUCGAGGAGAAUAUCCACAGGCCAGCGAGCUAACUAUGGUUAAGGAACUCGGCAAAUUAGCCCCGUAAGUUCGCGAGAAGGGGUGCCCAGGGCAACCUGGGCCGCAGUGAAGAGGCACGAACGACUGUUUAUCAAAAACACAGCUCUCUGCUAACUCGUAAGAGGAUGUAUAGGGGGCGACGCCUGCCCAGUGCUCCAAGGUUAAGAGGAGAGGUCAACCGAACAGCAAUGGUCGGGGCAGCUUUGAAUUGAAGCCCGAGUGAACGGCGGCCGUAACUAUAACGGUCCAAAGGUAGCGAAAUUCCUUGUCAGGUAAGUUCUGACCCGCAUGAAAGGCGUAACGAUUCGUGCACUGUCUCAACCAUAGGCUCGGUGAAAUCUUAGUACCAGUGAAGAUGCUGGUUACCCGCAACUAGACGGAAAGACCCCGUGGAGCUUUACUGCAACCUGAUAUUGGAUUUUCUUCUGGCUUGUACAGGAUAGGUGGGAGACUAUGAUUCCGAGACGCUAGUUUCGGAGGAGUCGCCGGUGGGAUACCACUCUGGCGAGCGGAAAAUUCUAACUUGUUGGUUUACAGCCAAAAGGACAGUGUUUGGUGGGUAGUUUGACUGGGGCGGUCGCCUCCUAAAAAGUAACGGAGGUGUUCAUAAGGUAUCCUCAAUAGGAAUAGAAAUCCUAUGUUGAGUGUAAAGGCAUAAGGAUACUUAACUGUGAGACUAACAAGUCGAACAGAUGCGAAAGCAGGACUUAGUGAUCCGGCGGUUCUUAGUGGUAAGGCCGUCGCUAAACGGACAAAAGUUACCCCGGGGAUAACAGGCUAAUACUUCCCAAGAGACCACAUCGACGGAAGUGUUUGGCACCUCGAUGUCGGCUCAUCGCAUCCUGGUGGGGCAGAACCUACCAAGGGUUGGGCUGUUCGCCCAUUAAAGCGGUACGUGAGCUGGGUUCAGAACGUCGUGAGACAGUUUGGUCCCUAUCUGUUGUGGGCGUGAGGAAAUUUGCGAAGUGCUGCUCCUAGUACGAGAGGACCGGAGUGGACCGACCAAGGGUGUUCCAGUUGUCACGUCAGUGGCACGGCUGGUUAGCUAUGUCGGGACGAGAUAAGCACUGAAAGCAUCUAAGUGCGAAGCUCACUUCUAGAUAAGAUUUCCCAUCCGUCAAAGGAGUAAGAUACCUUCAAGACUAGGAGGUUGA
rnacentral:rRNA from 1 species